GGGUGAUUAGUUUAGUGGCAGAACAGCGGUCUCCAAAACCGCUGGCGAGGGUUCGAUUCCUUCAUCACCCG
rnacentral:tRNA from 1 species